rnacentral:rRNA from 1 species
GGGCCCGCACAAGCGGUGGAGCAUGUGGUUUAAUUCGAUGCAACGCGAAGAACCUUACCAGGGUUUGACAUCCUGCGAAUCUCUUGGAAACGAGAGAGUGCCUUCGGGAACGCAGUGACAGGUGGUGCAUGGCUGUCGUCAGCUCGUGUCGUGAGAUGUUGGGUUAAGUCCCGCAACGAGCGCAACCCACGUCUUUAGUUGCCAGCAUUUAGUUGGGCACUCUAGAGAGACUGCCGGUGAUAAACCGGAGGAAGGUGUGGAUGACGUCAAGUCAUCAUGCCCCUUACAUCCUGGGCUACACACGUACUACAAUGCUACGGACAAAGGGCUGCAAGUUCGCGAGGACAAGCAAAUCCCAUAAACUCGGUCUCAGUUCGGAUUGUAGGCUGCAACUCGCCUACAUG